AUUGAACGCUGGCGGCAUGCCUUACACAUGCAAGUCGAACGGUAACAGGUCUUCGGAUGCUGACGAGUGGCGAACGGGUGAGUAAUACAUCGGAACGUGCCCGAGAGUAGGGGAUAACGAGGCGAAAGCUUUGCUAAUACCGCAUACGAUCUCAGGAUGAAAGCAGGGGACCGCAAGGCCUUGCGCUCACGGAGCGGCCGAUGGCAGAUUAGGUAGUUGGUGGGAUAAAAGCUUACCAAGCCGACGAUCUGUAGCUGGUCUGAGAGGAUGACCAGCCACACUGGGACUGAGACACGGCCCAGACUCCUACGGGAGGCAGCAGUGGGGAAUUUUGGACAAUGGGCGCAAGCCUGAUCCAGCCAUGCCGCGUGCAGGAUGAAGGCCUUCGGGUUGUAAACUGCUGUUGUACGGAACGAAAAGACUCUGGUUAAUACCUGGGGUCCAUGACGGUACCGUAAGAAUAAGCACCGGCUAACUACGUGCCAGCAGCCGCAGUAACAC
rnacentral:rRNA from 1 species